AUCUCUAACACAGUUGUUGCCAUUUAUCGAAAUCCUCCAUUAUAAGCGGGAGCCACUGAAUAUGGAUAAGGUUAUUCGACUUAUCUGUAAAUAAGUAGCCUCUGAUCAUCAUAAAGGUAUAGUUGCUUGAAUAUUUUUUCAAAGUCUCUACAUCUACCUCAUGUAAAAUAUAUUGCACCCUAUCUCUGAGCCAUGUUAACUUAAUGGCAAAGACUUUCUUUUAAACCUAUGCCCACAUAAAAGCCUGGUGCUGAGAUCACUAUUAAUGCACAAUUCAAGGUGAAAUAUCACAUCUAUCCUACAGCGUGAUGGCACCCUAUGAUAGUUGGAAGAUGUGACAUUUUUCGCUGUCGCCGCCGCCGCAGCCGCUCGCGUCAUACGAGCUCCCUCCACCACCGCUCUCAUCGCGUUUGCUCCCUUCAUCACCAUCGUCGCACGAGGUCUCUCUGCCGUGCUCUUGUCUUACGAGCUCCCUCCGCUACCGCUCUCGUCGCUGCUUCUUCUCUCCUCUCCGGAGGUUCUUCAUCGUCUCUUCUCAUCACUGUUAGUUCAGUUGAAAAUCAAAGAAUACGAUCCACGAGAACUCUUACGGUUGCAAAUCAGCUAUUGCUGCUGCAAAGAACUGAGUUUCUAAAUUCUAAGGUUCUCCGGGAGCUUAACCAUCCCAUUGUAUAUUCUCUAUCUCCUGGAACUAGUGUGACACCAGCAUUAGCCAAGGAUGUCAGUGAGCUAGUAAACAUGUAUCGUAUAACAAGAGAUGACUGGGAUAACUGGGCUGAUAUCAAUUCUCAUUUUGAUGUAUCAAGCCUUCCCAGCCACCUCCUCUCAUACUGUCCAUUACUAUUAUCAAUGGAGCUACUCCCAAAAGAGCUGUAUGUUUGGAUGGAACAUUGCCUGUCUAUCACUUUCAUCCUGGAUCCGGAUCAGGAGCCAAUAGUUGGCUCAAUGACUUAGAGGUACAUUCAAAAAAUAUAUACUUAUAGUGUCUCUGUUUCAAUAACGAGUCUUAAUAUUUCAAUAUGUGUAAGUAAUUUGAAGUGUUGUGCCUAAUUGUCUUGGUUGCAGGGAGGAGGAUGGUGUAAUUAAUUUUUCCUCUGUAAGAUAUUAAAUUAAAAUGAGACUUAACUCACGUUCUACUUUUACAUAAUUAUUCAAUUAAAUAUUUAGAUUUCACAAUUAACUAUUUGUAUAAAUUUUUUUUUAUAGUGUCUGUGUAUAAAAACUAAAUCCAUAUAGAAUAUAAAAAAAAUUAAUGUUAAUCACAAGUUACAAAAUAGAGAAAAAGUUUGAUAAAAUUAAUGAUAUAAUUACCAUAUUAAUUAACUAAACUGGAAUUAUUGUGAAGAAAAACAAUAGUGGUGGCCUAAUAGGUGAAGUGUGGGACUCAACACUAUACAGUCUCUCACCUAUGAUUGGUCUUGGAUUUGGAAGAAGGCCUAGAAAGUAAUAUGAUAAAUUUAACUUGUUUAAACAAAUUUUUCGAGACUAGUUAUUUAUGUAUCAGGUUGUGAAUCCUUAUUACUAGCUUCCAUGGAAUGUUGAAUAAUAAGGGCAAGAGAUUUGAGAGAGUUGAAGGUGUUUGCAUGGAACAAUAUACUUGAUGGUUUGGUAUUAUACUUUGCUUGUAACUAAUAUUAUUAUAUCUUAUCUUAGCUCGUGGCAAUUUGAGAAAUAUUAUCCAAUUCAACUAUAAAUUCACUAGCUAGUGUUGGAAAUAGAAUUCUAAAUUUCUAACACUAAAUUCAAAUUUUGUAAAUUAAGUUUAACUUUUUUUUUAAAUUAACUUACAAUAUUUUUAGAUUUCAUUAAUUUAUAAUGCUAAUAUCAGUGUGUGGUUUGAUUAUUCUGAUUUAGAGACGAUUCACACUGAUUUUAUUGAAGUUGACCAGUUCACUUGUUUCACUAGAUAAUACAAAAAGAAAUCUGAUUUACAUUCAUAUUUCAAAGUACUAGGCAUUGUCUUCAAAACUUCUGACUUGGCGGCUUCUCCAAUUUUUUUGAAAUGCUCUGUCUCAAAACUCAAUCGAUGGAGUUCUUUCAUAAUAUCCGAAGGGUCACUGGAAACGCACUUGAUUUCAGCAUCUUUUACCAGUUCUAUUUUGAGUUUGGUCUGUUUAAGUUCUUCUUCAAGAGAAGAUAUUUUCAAUGAAUUUUGACUAAGCCUUUCGUGGGUUCUCUCAAGCGAGAUUCUUUCCUUCUCUAAUUUCUUGUUAAGCGAUUCGACAGAAGCUCGAACAUCAACAAGACCAUUAGUAGUUCUUGUUAGGUUCAACUUGGCCAGCUUCAAUUCAAUUAGUAUCCUUCCUAAAUACUUAUAUCUGAAAUAGUUUUUAUAGAUGUGGUAUGAAUAUCUGCUCUUUAACUUAUUUCUUAAACAUAUCCAUCAUCGUCAAGAUUAAAUGCUUCCAAUUAGUUCUAAAAUGAUACAGUAGUGAAUUAUUUUGGCAGAUUCAAGGACCAAUUUGAGAUAUUUGAUCUUUCAGAACUAUUUUGACUAUUAAUACUAUUUUUUAAGGAUAUAGUCAAGUGAGGAAUUCAAUGGUAUAACACCCCUUUUCCAUAUACUGUUGCUCUUAGGUGAUGGCCAUACUUGCAGAUUUCAUAUUGGUUUAUCUUCCUGCACCUACCAUAUUUUUUAGACCGCCGCCUGCAAUCAAUGCAGGCCCCAUUGCUAAGUUCUUCCACAACUGCCCGAAUAAUGCAUUCCAGGUUGCUCUCUCUGGGACAUCAUAUUCUUUGUUACAGAGGUUUAUUCAUCUAAUACAAAUAGAUUUAUAUCCCUAGUUAUUCAUCUCACAUUCAAAUUCUCAUUACUUAAUAUUUUUGUAUUAUUACAUGUUGUAUAUCAAUGAAAUGUUUUGCUGAGACACCAAAUAAAAAGAACAAAAUAACUAUAGUAGGCAUCUAUCUCCUAAACUUGUUGAGUAAGCAUUUUCAAGAACGUAUGGUGUAUGAUAUUCAUGAGUACUUUUUUCCUGGACUGAUUUAUUGUUCACUUUUGGUUUUUCUUUAGAUUGCUGAACCACUAGAAAAAUGGCUUACUGAGGACAUAGAGAAUGGUGUUGUUAAUAAUGACUAGAAUCAGAAAAAAUUAGGUGAAUUCUUUCAGACUAAAUAUGAUUGGGAUCUCCUUGCUGCAUGGUCAAUCUAGGCAUUUGUCCCUGAUAAGCAGAUUUUAGUGGGGUGCAUGACAGGGACCUCUAUGUGAUAAACCCAUCAGAAAUGUUAAAUUCAAGAUUGUUGAUGCAAGAAUUGCUCUUAAGUCACUUCAUAGGGGAUCUGGCCAGUUAAUUCCAACAGCACGACAAGUAGCCUACUCUUCCUUCCUUAUGGCUGCCCCUCGGCUUAUGGAACCAGUAUAUUAUAUGGAGACUGAUUUGGAAGAAGAAAAAGCACAUGAAAUCACCAAGUUACAGGAUGCUUUGCAUGCAAUGCAAAUACAGGUAGAUGAAGCAAAUGCCAGAGCAGUUAAAGAGCGUGAGACAGCACAGAAAGCCACUGAAGAAGCACCACCAAUUAUUAAGGAGACUCCUGUUCUAGUUCAAGACUCAGCAAAGAUUAAAGAAGCACCACCAGGUUCUUUCUCUUUUUCUCCUAUUAAACUUGCAUCCCCAAAUUGAAAGUCACUAAAACUAGACCAGAUGUUAAGGUGAGCUUCACUUGUGAAUUUGUUACUUGAGAUGAGGAAUGCACUGUAUAUAGAUUAUGUUGUCACUAUUUUUUUAUUUUUGUCAGAAUUUGAUACUUGAGAAACAGAUGAGAAAUGAAAAAAUAUAAAGAGGCAGAAAAGCCUGAGGCAGGGGAUCAAUUUAGAUGAAGUUCCAAUUUUAGAACCUGAUUAAGCAACCUUAUUGUAUAUUUUGACUUAAUUAGAGGACAAUAGUUGAUGUAUCAAUAUACUUUGUUGAUGUAUGGUUGUUACUUAUUAUUAUAGUUGAUGUAUCAAUAUACUUUAUUUAUAUUUUGAAUUAUA